rnacentral:rRNA from 1 species
UACGUAGGGACCAAGCGUUGUUCGGAUUUACUGGGCGUAAAGGGCGCGUAGGCGGCGAUGUAAGUCACUUGUGAAAUCUCUGAGCUUAACUCAGAACGGCCAAGUGAUACUGCAUUGCUAGAGUGCAGAAAGGGCAAUCGGAAUUCUUGGUGUAGCGGUGAAAUGCGUAGAUAUCAAGAGGAACACCUGAGGCGAAGGCGGGUUGCUUGUCUGACACUGACGCUGAGGCGCGAAAGCCAGAGGAGCAAACGGG